CCAGCCAUGCCGCGUGUGUGAAGAAGGCCCUCGGGUUGUAAAGCACUUUCAGCGAGGAAGAACGCCUAGCGGUUAAUACCCGCUAGGAAAGACAUCACUCGCAGAAGAAGCACCGGCUAACUCCGUGCCAGCAGCCGCGGUAAUACGGAGGGUGCAAGCGUUAAUCGGAAUUACUGGGCGUAAAGCGCGCGUAGGUGGCUUGAUAAGCCGGUUGUGAAAGCCCCGGGCUCAACCUGGGAACGGCAUCCGGAACUGUCAAGCUAGAGUGCAGGAGAGGAAGGUAGAAUUCCCGGUGUAGCGGUGAAAUGCGUAGAGAUCGGGAGGAAUACCAGUGGCGAAGGCGGCCUUCUGGACUGACACUGACACUGAGGUGCGAAAGCGUGGGUAGCAAACAGGAUUAGAUACCCUGGUAGUCCACGCCGUAAACGAUGUCGACCAGCCGUUGGGUGCCUAGCGCACUUUGUGGCGAAGUUAACGCGAUAAGUCGACCGCCUGGGGAGUACGGCCGCAAGGUUAAAACUCAAAUGAAUUGACGGGGGCCCGCACAAGCGGUGGAGCAUGUGGUUUAAUUCGAUGCAACGCGAAGAACCUUACCUACUCUUGACAUCCUGCGAAUUUGGUAGAGAUACCUUAGUGCCUUCGGGAACGCAGAGACAGGUGCUGCAUGGCUGUCGUCAGCUCGUGUUGUGAAAUGUUGGGUUAAGUCCCGUAACGAGCGCAACCCUUGUCCUUAUUUGCCAGCGCGUAAUGGCGGGAACUCUAAGGAGACUGCCGGUGACAA
rnacentral:rRNA from 1 species